rnacentral:lncRNA from 1 species
GGCGGCCGGGCGGGAUGUCCUGUCCGCAGUCUUCAGCCCAGCCGCCGCCACCCAUAAGCUAUGAGGAGGAGUUUACGACCACCUGGACUACUACCACCUGCGUGACUUCCCGGCCUGCGGGGUCCGCGCAGCAAAGGCUUGACGCUGCUGGAGCAGGCGCUGCGCACCUACUGGCUGGCGCCUGGUAGGCACGAGCGCAGGGUCGCCCAGAAGCUCCUCAAUGGCCUGAGCAAGUACCAGCCAGCGCCAGCUGCAGCCCUGGCCGCGCACUCGCCUCAGCUGAGCCUGGGUUGAGGCUGCCCCGCGUUAGGGAGCUGCACCGCACCCCCCCAGCUUGACCUCUGACUGCCGUUGCAAUAGUAUUAAAGCCUUUGG